rnacentral:rRNA from 1 species
AGCGAACGCUGGCGGCAGGCCUAACACAUGCAAGUCGAGCGCCCAGCAAUGGGAGCGGCAGACGGGUGAGUAACGCGUGGGGGUGUGCCCAAUGGUGCGGAAUAACCCAGGGAAACUUGGAUUAAUACCGCAUGUGCCCUUCGGGGGAAAGAUUUAUCGCCAUUGGAUCAACCCGCGUCUGAUUAGCUAGUUGGUGAGGUAAAGGCUCACCAAGGCGACGAUCAGUAGCUGGUCUGAGAGGAUGAUCAGCCACACUGGGACUGAGACACGGCCCAGACUCCUACGGGAGGCAGCAGUGGGGAAUAUUGGACAAUGGGCGCAUGCCUGAUCCAGCCAUGCCGCGUGAGUGAUGAAGGCCUUAGGGUUGUAAAGCUCUUUCGCCGGUGAAGAUAAUGACGGUAACCGGAGAAGAAGCCCCAGCUAACUUCGUGCCAGCAGCCGCCGUAA